rnacentral:tRNA from 1 species
CAGGAAUUGCGUCAGGCUUUGGGCGAAGCCGGUUUCGAGCCGGUGCUGGAAAGUGUGCCCAUGUGCCGCGACACGGAAAACCUGU